rnacentral:rRNA from 1 species
AUUGAACGCUGGCGGCAUGCCUUACACAUGCAAGUCGAACGGCAGCGCGGGCUUCGGCCUGGCGGCGAGUGGCGAACGGGUGAGUAAUACAUCGGAACGUGCCCAGUAGUGGGGGAUAGCUUGGCGAAAGCCGGACUAAUACCGCAUACGACCUGAGGGUGAAAGCGGGGGAUCUUCGGACCUCGCGCUAUUGGAGCGGCCGAUGGCAGAUUAGCUAGUUGGUGGGGUAAAGGCCUACCAAGGCGACGAUCUGUAGCUGGUCUGAGAGGACGACCAGCCACACUGGAACUGAGACACGGCCCAGACUCCUACGGGAGGCAGCAGUGGGGAAUUUUGGACAAUGGGCGAAAGCCUGAUCCAGCAAUGCCGCGUGUGUGAUGAAGGCCUUCGGGUUGUAAAGCACUUUUGGCGGGAACGAAAAGGACUGUGCCAAUACCACGGUUCGAUGACGGUACCCGCAGAAUAAGCACCGGCUAACUACGUG